rnacentral:lncRNA from 1 species
AUGUUUUAACCAAUGUUUCUGGAUAUUGCCUUACCUCCCUUUUCUUACCUCAUUUGCACACACUGUAUAUAGAUUUUCUUCAACUGUAUUAUUGACUGUAUGUUUUGUUUAUUCCAUGUCUAACUCUGUGUUGUUGUAUGUGUCGAACUGCUUUGCUUUAUUCUUGGCCAGGUCGCAAUUGUAAAUGAAUACUUGCUCUCAACUUGCCUACCUAGCUAAAUAAAGGUGAAAUAAAAUAUAUAUAUAUAAAAUAUUGUCUUCAGCAUAAACCUGCCUCCACCACAAUUACAAGGAGAUGAUCGAGGGUGAACAAGCAACACGUCAGCUUUAAUUGUCUGGAGCCUGGUGUUGUUGUGGCCAUGGAGCUUUCACUCAGAUGGAUCCAGGUUUCAGCUAAUGUGCAAUGUUUGACGUCCUUCCUCCCAGAGAUGUGAAAGUAUCCCCCGGACUGGACACAACCCGGCAAACCCGGGUUCUUGGUCAUGUUUGAGAAGAUCAGGACUUUUGCAAUGAAAAGGCCAUGGAAAGGGCAGGACAAAACAGGCUAGAUUCCUUUGUUCAUAUCAUAACAUGACCUGAACCAAAGUUACUCAAAGGUUGUUAUGGGGUGGCAGGGUAGCCUAGUGGUUAGAGUGUUGGACUAGUAACUGAAAUGGUUGCAAGUUCAAAUCCCUGAGCUCACUGAGGUAGUGCUAAAGGUAGUAGCCAACAAUAAAGGUAAAACAUAAAGUUAAAAACAAUAUCUGGACCUAGGCCUACAGUGCCUUCUGAAUUUCCACAUUUUGUUGCGUUAAUGCCUUACUAUAAAAUUGAUUGAAUAAAACAUUUUAGUCAGCAAUCUACACACAAUACCCCAUAAGAAAACUGAAAUACCUUAAUUACAUAAGUAUUCAGACUGUUUGCUAUGAGAUACAAAAUUGAGCUCAGGUGCAUCCUGUUUCCAUUGGUCAUCCUUGAGAUGUUGCUACAACUUGAUUGGAGUCCACCUGUGGUAAAUUCAAUUGAUUGGACAGGAUUUGGAAAGGCACACACCUGUCUAUAUAAGGUCCCACAGAGCAAAAACCAAGCCAUGAGGUCGAAAGAAUUCUCCGUAGAGUGAUGAGACAGGAUUGUGUCGAGGCACAGAUUUGGGGAAAGGUACCAAAAAAUGUCUGCUGCAUUGAAGGUCCACAAGAACACAGUGGCCUCCACCAUUCUUUAACAGAAGAAGUUUGGAACCACCAAGACUCUUCAUAGAGCUGGCUGCCCGGCCAAACUGAUCAAUCGGGGGAUAAGGGCCUUGGUCAGGGAGUUGACCAAGAACCCUAUGGUCACUCUGACAGAGCUCUAGAGUUCCUCUGUGGAGAUGGAAAAACCUUCCAGAAGGACAACCAUCUCUGUAGCACUCCACCAAUCAGGGUUUUAUGGUAGAGUGGCCAGACAGAAGCCACUCUUCAGUAAAAGAGACAUGACAGCCCACUUUGAGUUUGCCAAAAGGCAACGACAGACUCUCAGACCAUCAGAAGCAAGAUUCUCUGGUCUGCUGAAACCAAGAUUGAACUUUUUAGCUGAAAGGGCUCCCGAGUGGCGUAGUGGUUUAAGACACUGUGUCUCAGUGCAAGCGGCG